UCGAGCGAGGCGGAGGGGGCAACUCCUCUAGCCGAGCGGCGGACGGGUGAGUAACACGUGGGUAACCUGCCCGGAAGUGGGGAAUACCUCGGGGAAACUCGAGCUAAUGCCGCAUAAAAUCUCCGGGACGAAAGUCCUGGCGAUCAAAGCGGGGUCGCAAGAUCUCGCGCUACCGGAUGGGCCCGCGCCCGAUUAGCUAGUUGGUGAGGUAAUGGCUCACCAAGGCAACGAUCGGUAGCCGGCCUGAGAGGGUGAUCGGCCACACCGGAACUGAGACACGGUCCGGACUCCUACGGGAGGCAGCAGUGGGGAAUCUUGCGCAAUGGGCGAAAGCCUGACGCAGCAACGCCGCGUGGAGGAUGAAGGCCCUUGGGUUGUAAACUCCUGUCGGCUGGGAAGAAAUCGUGCGGUGCUCAUACCACCGUACGUUGACUGUACCAGCAAAGGAAGCCCCGGCUAACUCUGUGCCAGCAGCCGCGGUAAUACAGAGGGGGCCAGCGUUAUUCGGAAUUAUUGGGCGUAAAGGGCGCGUAGGCGGCCUUGCGUGUCUUUCGUGAAAUCCCUCGGCUUAACUGAGGACGUGCGGAAGAAACUGCAGGGCUCGAGUCCGGGAGAGGGGGGUGGAAUUCCCAGUGUAGCGGUGAAAUGCGUAGAUAUUGGGAGGAACACCGGUGGCGAAGGCGGCCCCCUGGACCGGUACUGACGCUGAGGCGCGAAAGCGUGGGGAGCAAACGGGAUUAGAUACCCCGGUAGUCCACGCCGUAAACGAUGGGCACUUGGUGUCGCG
rnacentral:rRNA from 1 species